AUCCAGCUGAUGAGUCCCAAAUAGGACCGAAAUGCGCUUUAUGCUGGAU
rnacentral:hammerhead_ribozyme from 1 species